rnacentral:rRNA from 1 species
GACGAACGCUGGCGGCGUGCUUAACACAUGCAAGUCGAGCGAUGAAUUUUCUUCGGAAAUGGAUUAGCGGCGAACGGGUGAGGAACACGUGAAGAAUCUGCCCUCCACUUUGGGAUAACACAGGGAAACCUGUGCUAAUACCGAAUAUUGAAACAUAAGUGGCAUCACUGAGUUUUGAAAGAAUUUCGGUGGAGGAUGACUUCGCGGCCUAUCAGCGAGUUGGUGAGGUAAUGGCUCACCAAGGCAACGACGGGUAGCCGGCCUGAGAGGGCGGCCGGCCACACGGGGAGUGAGACACGGCACAGACUCCUACGGGAGGCGGGAGUGGGGAAUAUUGGGCAACGGAGGAAACUCGACCCCAGCGACGCCGCGUGCGGGAUGAAGGCCUUCGGGUUGUAAACCGCUUUCAGUAGGGAAGAAGCGAAAGUGACGGUACCUACAAAAGAAGCACCGGCUAACUAUGUGCCAGCAGCCGCCGCCG